AACGUAGGUACCGAGCGUUAUCCGGAUUUACUGGGCGUAAAGCGCGUUCAGGCGGUUUGGCAAGUCGGGCAUGAAAUCUCUCGGCUCAACCGGGAGAGGUUGUCCGAUACUGCUGGACUUGAGGCCAGUAGGGGGACGCGGAAUUCCGGGUGUAGUGGUGGAAUGCGUAGAGAUCCGGAGGAACACCAGCGGCGAAGGCGGCGUCCUGGACUGGUACUGACGCUCAGGAGCGAAAGCGUGGGGAGCGAUCCGG
rnacentral:rRNA from 1 species